GCCAGUAGACAAAGCACGUUGAAUGCACCAGUUCCCGUUGGUUCACUGAAGUUAAACAACGUUGCGCGUGG
rnacentral:rRNA from 1 species